CGGCAAUACAAAUGCAGAUAUUUUUCUCAGUAUAAACAUAGAUUACUCUGCAAUACCAGCACCAGCCAGUAAGGGUCACUGUGUGUGGAGAGAGGCAGGGAUAGGAAGUUACAGCAUAUCCCUCCCUGCCUCUCUCUACUCACUAAUCUGCGGGGGAGCAGCUACACAGCACAGAGAGUUCAGACAGCAGCUCCCAGCCUGCAGAGACAGACUACAGCUCAGGGAAGUGAGGGAUGAGGGGAAAGGCAGCAGGGAAACAUGGGGACACUGAGACACUAGGGGACACUGGGAGACCUGGGGACGCUGAGACACAUGGGGACGCUGUGAGACAUAAGGACAUUGGGAUACACAUUGGGACACGGAGACACUAGGGACACAGUGUCUCCAU